AAUGAACGCUGGCGGCGUGCUUAACACAUGCAAGUCGUGCGCGAAGGAGGCUUCGGUCUCCGGAGAGCGGCGAACGGGUGAGUAACACGUGGGUAAUCUACCUAGGAGUGGGGGAUAACCUGGGGAAACUCGGGCUAAUACCGCAUACGUUGGUUGGGCUACGGUCUGAUCAAGAAAGCUGGCCUCUGCUUGCAAGCUAGCGCUCCUGGAGGAGCCCGCGGCUGAUUAGCUAGUUGGUGAGGUAAUGGCUCACCAAGGCAUCGAUCAGUAGCCGGCCUGAGAGGGUGAUCGGCCACACUGGGACUGAGACACGGCCCAG
rnacentral:rRNA from 1 species